AAUGUAGAGCCUGACUAAAGGGUUACUGUGAUAGGGUAAAUCAUGUAGAAAAUCUACCUACAUUA
rnacentral:tRNA from 1 species